UACGUAGGGUCCGAGCGUUGUCCGGAAUUACUGGGCGUAAAGAGCUCGUAGGUGGUUUGUCGCGUUGUUCGUGAAAACUCACAGCUCAACUGUGGGCGUGCGGGCGAUACGGGCAGACUGGAGUACUGCAGGGGAGACUGGAAUUCCUGGUGUAGCGGUGGAAUGCGCAGAUAUCAGGAGGAACACCGGUGGCGAAGGCGGGUCUCUGGGCAGUAACUGACGCUGAGGCGCGAAAGCCAGAGGAGCAAACGGG
rnacentral:rRNA from 1 species